rnacentral:pre_miRNA from 1 species
GGCACUCGAAGAGGAGUUUUCCCAAAUGAACUCGUUGUGUUCGUGACGAGUCAUUCUUGGCCGGGCCCAUUCCAGGACC